AUUGAACGCUGGCGGCAGGCCUAACACAUGCAAGUCGAACGAGUGGCGGACGGGUGAGUAAUGUCUGGGACACUGCCUGAUGGAGGGGGAUAACUACUGGAAACGGUAUCUUAUACCUCCUACCAUCAGAUGUGCCCAGAUGGGAUUAGCUUGUUGGUGGGGUAACGGGUCACCACGGCGACGAUCCCUAGCUGGUCUGAGAGGAUGACCAGCCACACGGGAACUGCGAAACGGUCCAGACUCGUACGGGAGGCAGCAGUGGGGAAUAUUGCACAAUGGGCGCAAGCCAGAUGCAGCCAUGCCGCGUGUAUGAAGAAGGCCUUCGGGUUGUAAAGUACUUUCAGCGGGGAGGCGUUACCCGCAGAAGAAGCACCGGCUAACUCCGUGCCAGCAGCCGCGGUAAUUC
rnacentral:rRNA from 1 species